CUUAAAAAUAAAUAAAUCACACAUGCUUCUAUCCCUCCUUUUCCAAAAAAUUAUGUCUGGAACUUGAAUGAGCUGAUUAUCUUCUGAACUAUCCUGGUAUCUUAAUAUUGUUAGUUAUCUGUACUGUUAUAUGUAUUGAUCAGCUUGGCAAAGGCAUUUUCCCUGCAAGUAAAUUACCGUUCUCAGACAAUCCAAUAAAGAUACUACAAAAUAAAUGAUCAUAUCCUUCCUGCCCAAACAGGCCUUAGGUUGACUUAUGUUACAGUCUUGUGCCAACAUCUAGAAAUAAUAACUCAGAAGCCACAAGCUUCCUACCCCAGAAGCAGAACAAAGCAGGGAGGGUGGGAGAACAAAACCCCUUUGUCGUUUAUUUCAAAGCACCACGUGCAUCUGGUCUGAUUACUUAUUCACUUCCCUGCCCCCAAGUGGUGACAGGAAAAAUUCUUGGAUGUUUUGCAAGAUAAUCUAAACUGGCAUUACAUCCUGUGAGACAAAGCAAGCAGCUGCUGCUGAAAGACCACUCCAUCCCUCCUGCCUCGACCCAGCCCCCUUAGCUCAGAUCACAAUCAAAGUAAGGUAAAGGAGAGGAAUGAUUUUGCCAUGAGUGUACCUCACAAAAUCUCCUUCCCCUUCCCUAGCAGACCUCUGAAAUUGGCCAGUGAAAACACACUCCAGAAGGUGAGCAAAGGAUUGUUUCUAAUCUAAAGUGAACCACUGAACAGAAAAAGACAGGAAGGAAUGGUGGUAGACUGACUGAUGCAGGAUGGGGCAAAGCUCUCACCUGUGGGACUCUACCAGUGCGCAGUAAUGGACUUGAGAACAAGGGAGGACUCGUCAAGUGUGGCUUCCUGACCCCUCCUGGUUACACUACACUAUGAAUACAUAUGAAGAAGAAGAAGAAGAAGAAGAAGAAGAAGAAGAAGAAGAAGAAGAAGAAGAAGGGCUCUUUCUACCAAUCAGGGCAAUAGCCACUGCAGCAGCAGUACUGGGAAGUGACUGGAUAAACUGGUCCAUGCAAGGAAACAUUUCAAUGUUGUCACAACACCUCAGACUCAUUCCUGUAGCAUGAAGAAAUUGAUUGCAGGCAAAGUUGAUACCAGCUCUGUGCCUUAUACAUGGCCCCUAUGGAUGGAGCUACUUACUGGUGUGGGAGUUAGGCUCUGAGGUCAGGUGCCUGGGCCAGAUAGCUUAUCUCCUCUGCUGAGAGGUACUUCAGCUAGUUUUCCUUUUACUGUCUCCUCAUAGCAACUGGAAGUAAUGUAAUCUUAAUGUAGCUAAGGGGUAAAAAAAUGGUCAUUUUCAAAACAUAGAAAUGCACUUCUUCUCCACCACAUGAAUUUAUGCAUCCCAUACAGAAAAUGCAAAAUUUACAUGCAUGUGACGUGUCAGUUGAGGCCCACAAAGUAAGAAUUAAAGAGAACAAACCACAUCGUGGAAUGCUAAAUGUGCAGUUCAUAACCUAAACCCGUCCUGGAGCAGAUACAAAUACUAAGCAGCCGAUAGUGCAUUCAGAAACAGAACAAUACUCAAUCACAUCAGAAACAAUGGUAUCUUGUAUGGAGAGAGGGCCUGAGAAAACUAGCAGGUAUGAUUCCAAGGGGAAGUAGAUGCUCCUCCAGUUUCAAUCAUAGUAUAUUAGAUUUCCUAUACUGUAUAACAUUUGAAGCAUAUAAGCAUUUAAAUCCUUGCUUUCCUAAUUAUACUGUGUUUUGUUAAUUUGUCACCCCUUUGCUAUUCUAAGCUAGUCUUUAUGGAGCUGCCCUGGAAACUGGUCAUAACUAAACAUUUCCCCCCAAUUACAGUUUCUCAAAGCAAUGUAGAAAAUCAGAGCAUGGGAAAGUAAAACUGGAAUAAAUUACGUUUUCACCUUUGUGAAUGGAGUAACAUGCUCUCGCUCAUUCUGUGAUCAGGUUGUUUUUUUAAAGUGUCAGUGGUUUGUUUGUAAAACAGCUCCCUAUGAACCACAUUGAAACUGUUAGCUGUUUAGAAAAAAAGAGAGUAUUGCAACGUUAUUCUCCUUCCCUGUAGACAAUGGAGAUCUUGAAUGCAUGUGAAAUAUUUCACUGCAACCUAAGUACUAGAUCUACUGUGUCAGUUCUGUAUCCCCUCCAGCUUCCUAGUAUCUAAAUGCCAGCAAUGGAAAAAAAGAAACUGGUGUCCACAAGAGUCAGAUCUGACAGGCUGCCUUUCUGUAACUCGUUCCUGGCCUACAGCCACACUUCCAUUGGCUCAAGUCUUCUGAUUCAAUAUCAUAUAAGCUAAGCAGAAUCGGCCUGAGCACUGUUAUGAGUUUAGACUGUUUACAUUACUGUCAAUGGGCAACCAGCCAGGGAGUUUAACAAAAGAACAGUAAUGUUCCUUGAAGGCUGGAAAGGUUUCUCCAGCUUUUGGGGAGGUGAUACUCUUUAGCUAGGGGGAGGGGGCAAAGAAACAGUUUGGAACCACAGUUUCCAUUAUAAUUUAGAGAUGGGGGUGGGGUGGGGGGACAGAGAGAUAAAUAUUUUAGUUGGACUUAGCUACAGGGAGUUUAGAUCAGUACUAUGUCAGAGUCAGUCUUACCAUUAAGCAGGGUUAGACAGCUCCCCUCCGGUGGCAGGAUUUGGGGAACUAUUAAGCAGCAAGUUGCCAAUUGUUCAUCCAUCUGUUGUUACAUUUUUACCACAAUCACAGGUUCCAUUUUUGGCUGUUCUUUAGUACUUGGUAUUAAAAUUGUAUUCAGAGUG